GAAGGCAGCAGGCGCGCAGAUUACCCACUCCCGGCACGGGGAGGUAGUGACGAAAAAUAACGAUACGGGACUCAUCCGAGGCCCCGUAAUCGGAAUGAGUACACUCUAAACCCUUUAACGAGGAUCAAUUGGAGGGCAAGUCUGGUGCCAGCAGCCGCGGUAAUUCCAGCUCCAAUAGCGUAUAUUAAAGUUGUUGCGGUUAAAAAGCUCGUAGUCGAAUCUGUGUCUCGCGCCGCCGGUUCAUCGUUCGCGGUGUUUAACUGGCGUGCCGCGGGACGUCCUGCCGGUGGGCUUAACCUAAGGGAGCGGCCCAACUUGAAAUCCCACCGCGGUGCUCUUCAUCGAGUGUCGAGGUGGGCCGGCACGUUUACUUUGAACAAAUUAGAGUGCUUAAAGCAGGCUCAAACUUCGCCUGAAUACUGUGUGCAUGGAAUAAUGGAAUAGGACCUCGGUUCUAUUUUGUUGGUUUUCGGAACCCCGAGGUAAUGAUUAAUAGGAACGGAUGGGGGCAUUCGUAUUGCGACGUUAGAGGUGAAAUUCUUGGAUCGUCGCAAGACGGACAGAAGCGAAAGCAUUUGCCAAAAACGCUUUCAUUGAUCAAGAACGAAAGUUAGAGGUUCGAAGGCGAUCAGAUACCGCCCUAGUUCUAACCAUAAACGAUGCCAGCUAGCGAUCCGCCGACGUUCCUCCGAUGACUCGGCGGGCAGCUUCCGGGAAACCAAAGCUUUUGGGUUCCGGGGGAAGUAUGGUUGCAAAGCUGAAACUUAAAGGAAUUGACGGAAGGGCACCACCAGGAGUGGAGCCUGCGGCUUAAUUUGACUCAACACGGGAAACCUCACCAGGCCCGGACACCGGAAGGAUUGACAGAUUGAGAGCUCUUUCUUGAUUCGGUGGGUGGUGGUGCAUGGCCGUUCUUAGUUGGUGGAGCGAUUUGUCUGGUUAAUUCCGAUAACGAACGAGACUCUAGCCUGCUAACUAGGCGUAUUUUCGACAUCUCAAAGGCCCGCCGGCCCGGCGCUCUUGUGUCGCGGUCGCGCGCGGUUUUUACUGUCGGCGUACAAUCAAUUCUUCUUAGAGGGACAGGCGGCUUCUAGCCGCACGAGAUUGAGCAAUAACAGGUCUGUGAUGCCCUUAGAUGUUCUGGGCCGCACGCGCGCUACACUGAAGGAAUCAGCGUGUCCUCCCUGGCCGAGAGGCCCGGGUAACCCGCUGAACCUCCUUCGUGCUAGGGAUUGGGGCUUGCAAUUGUUCCCCAUGAACGAGGAAUUCCCAGUAAGCGCGAGUCAUAAGCUCGCGUUGAUUACGUCCCUGCCCUUUGUACACACCGCCCGUCGCUACUACCGAUUGAAUGAUUUAGUGAGGUCUUCGGACCGGUACGCGGUGGCGCUCCCGCGUCGCCGAUGUUGCUGGAAGAUGACCAAA
rnacentral:rRNA from 1 species